rnacentral:rRNA from 1 species
UGCGUAGGCGGAUUAAUAAGUCAGUGGUGAAAUCUUUCGGCUCAACCGAGAAACUGCCAUUGAUGCUGUUAAUCUUGAGUUCGGUUGAGGUAGGCGGAAUGUGUAAUGUAGCGGUGAAAUGCUUAGAUAUUACACAGAACACCAAUUGCGUAGGCAGCUUACUAGACCGACACUGACGCUGAGGCACGAAAGCGUGGGGAGCGAACAGGAUUAGAUACCCUGGUAGUCC